rnacentral:misc_RNA from 1 species
GGACGGUCCAGAAAUAUGGUCAACUCGACAUAAUGUUCAGUAACGCAGGAAUUGUUGGUAAUUCGGGUCAAAAGGUGCUCGAUCUGGAUCUUUCCCAAUUCGAUCGGGUGAUGAACGUCAACGCUCGUGGCAUGGCGGCGUGUGUGAAGCACGCAGGACGAGUCAUGGUGGAGAAGCGUGUUAGAGGUAGCAUAAUUUGUACUGGCAGUAUUGCGGCAAGCAGGGGAGGAACCUGGCGGACUGAUUACAUAAUGUCGAAACACGCUGUGUUAGGGUUAGUGAGAUCAGCCUGUAGGCAAUUGGGUGAGUAUGGAAUAAGAGUGAAUAGUAUUUCACCUUCUGCAGUAAUGACGCCAUUGAUGAUCAGCGCGGAAGCGGAGGUAUCAAUGAAGGCUCUGAAAAGGUAUGGUCCGCAGACUAGUUUGAAGGGUAUUACACUGACGGUGAAACACUUGGCGGAAGCUGCUCUGUUUCUAGCUUCCGAUGAUUCUGCUUUUGUUAGUGGGCUUG